rnacentral:rRNA from 1 species
AAUCAACGCUGGCGGCGUGCCUCAGACAUGCAAGUCGAACGCGAAAGGCUCCUUCGGGGGCCGAGUAGAGUGGCGCACGGGUGAGUAACACGUAGGUAAUUUGCCUUCGGGUGGGGAAUAACAGCCGGAACGGCUGCUAAUACCGCAUAAUGCAGCGGCUCGACAUCGAGACAGUUGUUAAAGCGGGGGAUCGCAAGACCUCGCGCCUGAAGAGAAGCCUGCGGCAGAUUAGCUAGUUGGCAGGGUAAUGGCCUACCAAGGCGACGAUCUGUAACCGGCCUGAGAGGGCGGGUCGGUCACACUGACACUGACAUAC